rnacentral:lncRNA from 1 species
GCGCGCAGCCUCGGUUCCCGCCCGUGCCUCUCCCUCCACACCUCCCCGCAACUGAGGGAGCCGGCUCCGGCCUCGGCCAGCCCAGAAAGGGGCUCACACAGUGCAGGGCCGGGCUGAAGGGCUCCUUAAGGGCGGCCAGAGUUGGCGCCAAGGCUGAGGAGGUGCCCAGAGCGAGCGAGGGCUGCCAGGGCUGCUAGCAGGCUGUCACCUCUCAAUAGCAGUUUUGUAUAUGGGAUCUAGCCCCUCCCUAAGAGGUUGAUUCUAAGGAAGCCAACAGCCGUGUUGUGAGUACCCAAUGGAAAGUCUGUUGUGGCAGAAAACUGAUGUCUCCAGCCAACAGCACUGAGGCCCUGAGACCUGCCAACUGUCAUGUUACAUCUCAAGGAGAAGGAUUGCCAGAUCAAAAGUCUUGCAGUUAACCAGGCGUGGUGGCAGAUACCUGUAAUCCCAGCUAUUCGGGAGGCUGAGGCAGGAGAAUCGCUUGUACCCGGGAGGCAGAGGUUGCAGUGAGCUGAGACCGCGCCAUUGACUCCUGCCUGAUGACAAGAGAGAAUCUACGUCUCAACAACAACAACACGCUUGGGCACUGUAUUAACUCCAUAAUCGCCUCUGUGCUCUUUCCCCUGUGGACAAUAACUACCAUUUCAUCCUGGACACCCAUUGUUUGCCUGGACCACACCUUGUUAUGACCAUAACCCUCAGUCAGACUCAACCUUCCUUCAAGAUCUGCAGAUCUAAAUUUUAUUGGGAACAGCUAGUUUGACAAGCAUAGACCAGAUGUCCAGUUGUCAUUCAUUCAGCAGGAGCAGCAAGAUUCAAUCAUGUUUUUAUUAUAUUAUUUCCUGAAACUUGUGGCUGUAACAAUGAAGUUUGAGGAUUGGUCUGUGUAAGUAUGGCAGAAGUGAUGUUAAGUCGCUUAUGAGAUUAGGGUAUAAAAGACUAAGGCUUCCAUGCUUCCAUCUUGGUCUCUGUCUCUCAGAGAACAGUCAUGUGAAUGAUUCUUCUUGAAAGUAAAUCUUCCAGCCCCAGUCCAGUAUUCAAAUGAUCCAGCAACAUUGCAACUUAUGAGAGACCUUGAGCCAUCCAGGUAACAUGCUUCCAAAUCCUGACCCUUAAAACCUGUAAAAUAAUAAAUGUGGUUUUAAACUCUUAA